CAUUAGCCUAAAUCUCGUGAAAAUCGACAUUUUAAAAAAAUUCUCCUGUGCCCAAUUUUGGACCAAAAACAUCUUAAAAAAUAAUUUGAGGUUAUCCGAUAGGUAUCUACACAUAAUUUUUUUAAAAAAGAAAAUAUGAGUCGUGAGAUCACGGUCGAGUAUUAAAAUCAGGUGAUUUCGCAUGGAAUAACCCUCUUGUCAUCUGAACUGGUGCACAGGUUAUGCUACUGUAAAAACAUUAGCAUUUAAGGUACUAUAGCACUCUUGUUUGAACCACAACAGACUAACACAGCUACCAAUAACAGAUAUGACAUUACUAUGGCAUCUGGAAUGUUACUUGAAAGGAGUCUGCUUUGAGGAAUGCAAAUACUUCUGGGUGGCUUGGACAAUAAAAAUAGGUGGCUGUGGGGAGGAAGAACCAGCUUUUAUUUGGAAUAUUUACAGAAACCAGAUUGCAGAGUUAUAUUGGGCAACAAUAAAAAAAUAUAUUUAUUGCUAAGUUAAUCCUCCACACUCUUCCUUGAACAGGACAGCCCUGGAAUACUGUAGGCUCAUUGCAAUAUAUCAAUUAGCUAUAAAGGAGAUUAUUGGAAGAAUACAACUUUGCAGCGCCCUAAACAACCACAGGUAAAUAGUCCCCUGGAAGCAUACUACCAGGCGGUUUGUGGGCAGGUGGUUUUAACCUUACUUUUUAAUGCUUACAUGUAACCUGCUGCUACAAGUACUGUACAGGAAAAUGUGACAUUUUCGGAAAAGAAUUUUAAAAUGUCCACAUUUUAAAGCCUCACAUUUUAAAGCCUCACAAGGACUGCUCUGCUGCCCAGGAAGACUCCCCUGUGGUGAGUGCCUGAGGGCCCUGCUCUUGCCACUUACCAUCUGGCCUGGGGCGGGGCCAGAAGCCUCACAAGGACUGCUCUGCUGCCCAGGAAGACUCCCCUGUGGUGAGUGCCUGAGGGCCCUGCUCUUGCCACUUACCAUCUGGCCUGGGGCGGGGCCUGAAGCCUCACAAGGACUGCUUGCCUCCCCUGUGUGAGUGCCUGAGGGCCCUGCUCCUUCUUGCCACUUACCACCUGGCCCAGGGAGGGCCUGACAGGCCUCACAAGGACUGCUCCUGCCACUUACUAUCUGGCCCAGGGUGGGGCCUCACAAGGAUGGCUGUUGCAACUGAUGCUGCUACUGCCCAGGAGGACCCGGAGGGGUGCAGAGUUCUUUUUAACAUGGUUUUUUUUUAUUAAAUAUUUUCCUUUCCCUUUAGAUUUUUUUAUAUAUGGGGGUGGGAUGGAUGUUUGGGUGGGCUUGGGAAUUUGUUAGAUUUUGAUGAAUUUUUAAUUUUUGUAGUUUUUAUUUGUAUUGUUUUAUUGUUUUCUGGGUUUUUGUUUUUAGUUUUUAUUGUUUUAAGGUUUUAUUGUUUUAGGCUGCGAAAGAAUAACAUUAAUUGCCAUCAAUGGAGGCUACCAUGAGGCCUGGGAUUGCUACCGUGGAGGGGCGAGGGAGGUAUGGCGGUGGGGGCAGAUGUUAUAGGCGAAGGGGAUCGAGAUAUGGAUACGCUCGUACCCCUUCCAAUCUGCGCCUCAUCCCGAGGGACGAGGGUAGGGUGAGCAAGGAUUACUCACCUCCGUCACUGGUGCUGUGCAAUGCCAGGUCUAUAGGCAAUAAAACCGCCACCCUGCGAGAUUUCUUUAUCUCGCAGGGGGUCGACCUGGCUUGUGUUACGGAGACCUGGGUGCGCGAAGGGGCAACAGUUACCUUACGAGAGAUGGCGCCCCCGGGUUUCUCCGUCCUCCACCAGUCGCGGACUGUGGGCCGGGGGGGGAGGGGUGGCAUUAUUAAUCCGGGAAGAUUGUCCUUUCAGGGCUCUACCAUCGCCAUCGAUCCCCGGCAUUGAAUGUGUUGGCCUAGUGUGGGGCUCCGAGGAGAGCUUGGCUGUCUGGCUGGUGUACCGGCCACCUAGUGCACCAGCAGCCACCCUGUCAGGCCUAUUGGAGGCGGUGGCCGGCUGGGCCUUGGAGUUCCCUAACCUAUUGGUAUUGGGGACUUUAACAUCCAUGCUGAUGCCACUCCCUCCUCACAGGCUCUGGACCUGGUGUCUUCCAUGGCGACACUAGGGCUCUCCCAGUUUGUUUCGGGCCCCACACAUCAAGCAGGCCACACGCUGGAUUUGAUCUUUGGCGUAGGUAUAGAUGUGAUCAUGUCUCCUUCGAUGAAGGUGCCAUGGUCUGAUCACUACGCCCUGAAAGCCAGGAUUGACUUUCCACCCCCACCCUGCUUAGGUGGCGAGCCGAUUUGGGCUCGCCCGCAGAGGCUGAUGGACCCUGAUAGAUUCCGCCAAGCCUUGCGGGAACUUGCUCCCCCUGGCGACUCAUUGACUGAGCUUGUUGAGGGCUGGAAUACCCAGCUCCUGGCAGCCAUCGAUGAGAUCGCACCUAAGCGCCCUCUGCGACCCCGCAGAAACCGGGCUCCCUGGUUUACCGAGGAGCUCCGGAAAAUGAAGCGGGACCUCAGACGGCUAGAGCGAGUAUGGCGGGGUGCCCGUGACGGAGCCUCAAGAACAUCUUAUAGGGCUUUUAUGAAAACCUACGAGAUGGCGGUGAAGGCUGCUAAGAAGUCAUACUUCUCGGCCUCCAUUGCAUCCGCUAGCUCUCGCCCGGCGCAAUUAUUUAGUAUAAUCAGGUCUUUAACGUCCCUUGAGGGACAGCCAAAUUUAAAUAACAAUUUGACACACAGCUGUGAGGCAUUUGCGAGCUUUUUUGCGGAGAAGGUCUUGUUGCUCCGCCAUGACCUCCCGGCCAAUUUGGAUACAAUAAAGGAACUGGAGGCCCUUUGGCUGUCCUCGGGUCCAGUAUUGGACCACUUUGACCAGAUAUCCCCAGCCAAUGUGGACAGACUCCUCCGAGCUGGAAAGCCCACCACCUGUCCUCUCGACCCGUGCCCGUCUUGGCUGAUUAGAGCGUGUCCAGACGAGGUGCGGGCCCUCCUGGGGGAUAUCAUCAAUUUGUCCCUUCGCACGGGGACAUUCCCAGGGGAACUGAAGGAGGCAGUGGUGCGCCCGCUGUUAAAGAAAACAUCAUUAGAUCCUUUAGAUCUAUCCAAUUACCGCCCGGUUUCGAAUCUUCCGUUCCUGGGUAAGGUGAUUGAGAGAGCGGUUGCUGAACAGCUUGGUGGUUUUCUGUUUUUUUUUUUUUAUAAUGAUAUUUAUUAAAGUUUCACAAAAAUACAUGAAAAUACAAAACAAAGAAAAAAGUAUAAAGUUUUAAAAUACAGCAAAAAAGUAGAAAAUAAGAAAAAACAUACAAAAUAAAACAGUUAAAAACACAAUAAUGUUCCAUAACCUAUCUUCCUUACUCUUAUUUCCCGGACCUCCUCAUACCUCCCUUCUUUGUAUUCCAAUUCAAUUUGUUGGUUCAGCAAAUCCUUACCAUUAAUCUUUUACCCAAUUGUUAACCUUUUUUUUCCAUGUCUCUUAAAGCAUUACAGCUAAAAACCUCUUAGUUUCUAUCCAACAUCUUCCUAAAGUUCCUUAAUUUUGCAAUAUUUCUGUAAAUAGUCCUUAAAUUUCUUCCAGUCUUCUUUCACCGACUCUUCUCCCUGGUCUCGGAUUCUGCCAGUCAUUUCCGCCAAUUCCAUGUAGUCAAUCACCUUCAUCUGCCAUUCUUCCAAAGUGGGUAGAUCUUGUGUCUUCCAAUACUUUGCGAUAAGUAUUCUUGCUGCUGUUGUAGCAUACAUGAAAAAGGUUCUGUCCUUCUUUGGCACCAGUUGGCCGACAAUGCCCAAGAGAAAGGCCUCUGGUUUCUUCAGAAAGGUAUAUUUAAAUACCUUUUUCAGUUCAUUAUAUAUCAUUUCCCAGAAAGCCUUAAUCUUUGGGCACGUCCACCAAAGGUGAAAGAAUGUACCUUCAGUUUCUUUACAUUUCCAACAUUUAUUAUCGGGCAAAUGAUAAAUUUUUGCAAGCUUGACUGGGGUCAUGUACCACCUGUAUAUCAUUUUCAUAAUAUUCUCUCUUAAGGCAUUACAUGCCGUAAACUUCAUACCUUUCCUAACAAUAUGGUUUUUGAAUGCUUUGUGUGCUUUGACCUUAUCAUACCAUAAAUAUGCAUGCCAUCCAAAUACAUUGUUAAAACCUUCUAGAUCCAAAAUGUCUGUGUUUUCAAGAAGUAGCCAUUCUUUCAGCCAGCAAAAAGCUGCUGAUUCAUAAUAAAGUUUAAGGUGUGGCAGGGCAAAUCCACCUCUUUCCUUGGCAUCAGUUAAUAUCUUAAAUUUUAUUCUGGGCUUCUUGCCCUGCCAGACAAAUCUAGAAAUAUCUCUCUGCCACUUCUUGAAAUAAUCCAUCUUAUCUACAAUUUGUAAUGUCUGAAACAAAAACAACAUUCUAGGCAAUACAUUCAUCUUUAUCACAGCAAUACGGCCCAGCAACGAGAGUUUCAAAUUUGACCAAAUUUCUAAAUCUUUUUCACUUCCGUCCAACAUUUUUCGUAAUUAUCUUUAAAUAAGUUCCCAUUUUUGGCUGUCAUAUUAAUCCCCAAGUAUUUCACUUUCUUUACCACAUUCAAUCCUGUCUCAUUCUGAAACCUCUCUCUUUCAAUCGGUGUUAAGUUUUUCUCUAAAACCUUAGUUUUUAACUUGUUCAAUUUAAAACCUGCCACCUGACCAAAUUCCUGAAUUAAUUCUAAAACUCUUUUAGUACUAGAUUCUGGCUCCUGUAACGUCAAUACUAAGUCAUCUGCAAAUGCUCUCAGUUUGUACUGUUUAGCUCCGACCUGUAUGCCCUUAACCAACCGGUCCUUUCUAAUCAUGUUUAGCAAAACCUCCAGGACCGAUAUAUAAAGCAGUGGGGAAAUUGGGCACCCCUGUUGUGUCCCUUUUUCUAUCUUAAAUUCUUCCGUAACCACAUUAUUUACAAUUAAUUUAGCCUUUUGUUCAGAGUAUAUUGCACCUAUACCAUUUUCAAAACCUUGGCCUACCCCCAUCCCAUGCAGAUUCUUCUUCAUAAAACUCCAAGAGAUAUUAUCAAAAGCUUUCUCCGCGUCAACAAAUAUCAAUACUGCUUUGGUGUUUAUAUUCACUUCUAAUUUUUCCAAAAUAUCAAUUAUAUUCCUCAAAUUAUCAGACAAGUGUCUUCCCGGGAGAAAGCCCGCUUGGUCUUUAUGAAUCUCUUUCAUCAAUACUUUUUCAAUCUCUUGGCCAAAAUGUCUGCAAAAAUUUUGUAAUCCACAUUAAGUAACGAUAUAGGGCGAUAGUUCUUAAGCUGAGUCUUUUCAGUCUCUGUUUUCGGUAUAAGUGUGAUAUACGCCUCUUUCCACGAUUCUGGUGCCCUUUUCCCCUCCAAAAUUUCAUUGCAGACUUCCUUCAAAGGUUGCAAUAACCACUCUUUCAAAGAUCUAUAGUAUCUGGAAGUCAGCCCAUCCGGUCCUGGAGAUUUGCCCAAUUGCAUAUUUUGUAUGGCACCUUCUACUUCCUGUUCAGAUAUUUUAUAGUUCAGCAUUAAUUUACUUUCUUGAGAGAUUUUUUGUAGGCCAUUUGUCUUCAAAAAUUGAUCUAUGUCCAUUUCCUUCUGUGGCCCUUGUGUGUAUAGUUGUUUAAAGUACCUCUGGAAGCAAUUUCUGAUCUCAUUUGGAUUAUGUAUACUCUUUCCUUCCACUUCUAGUUUUAUAAUAGUAUUUAAUUUUUGUCUUUUUUUCAUUUGCCAGGCCAACAGUUUUCCACAUUUAUUAGCUGAUUCAAAUGUUUUUUUGUCUCAUUUGUUUGAUUUUCCAUUCUAUUUCCUGAUUCAUCAUUUCCAUAUAUUGUACUUGAUAUAAUUUUAUUUCUCUCAAAAUCUCCUGGGACUUUGGUUUUGCUCUCAAUUUCUUCUCAAGCUUGGUGGUUUUCUGGAUGAAACAUCGGCUCUGGAUCCAUUCCAGUCCGGCUUCCGCACUGGUCAUGGGACCGAGACGGCUCUGGUUGCCCUAACAGAUGAUCUUCGUAGACAGCUGGAUCGAGGCGGGUCGGGGCUGCUGAUUCUUCUAGAUCUGUCAGCAGCUUUCGACAUGGUCGAUCACGAACUUCUGGACCACCGCCUUGCCGACGUGGGGAUCCAGGGCACAGUCCUUCAAUGGCUGCGCUCGUUUCUCUCUGGUCGGGGACAGAGGGUGGCGCUUGGGGGGGAAUUGUCAUCGCGCCACUCCUUGGUGUGUGGAGUACCUCAGGGUGCGAUACUCUCCCCGAUGCUUUUCAACAUCUUGAUUCGCACCCUCGCCCAGCUUGUUCGGAGUUUUGGGCUGGGUUGCCAUCAGUAUGCCGAUGACACCCAACUCUAUCUGUUGAUGGAUGGCCAUCCUGACUCGGCCCCAGACACACUGACCAGAUGUUUGGAAGCUGUGGCUGGAUGGUUACGUGGGAGCCGGUUGAAGCUAAAUCCUUCGAAGACAGAGGUCCUGUGGCUGGGACGGGGCGAUAUGGGAUUGGGGGCAACUCCCAUCUCUUGCGGGGCGCAAUUAGUGCCAGCACCGUCCGUUAAGAGUUUGGGUGUAAUCUUCGACACCUCCCUUUCCAUGGAGGCGCAGAUUGCAGCUAUAACAAAGGCGGCAUUUUUCCAUCUCCGCCAAGCUAAGCAGUUGGCUCCUUACCUCUCUCGCCCUGACCUAGCCACUGUGAUCCAUGCGACUGUCACCUCCAGACUGGAUUAUUGUAACUCGCUCUACGUGGGGCUGCCCUUGAGACUGACCCAGAAACUCCAGCGGGUGCAGAAUGCUGCAGCGAGACUCCCUACGAGGUCUUCGCUGCGAGAUCACAUUCACCCGGUGCUAUACCAGCUGCACUGGCUCCCGGUGGAGUACAGGAUCAGGUUUAAGGUGCUGGUUUUAACCUUUAAAGCCCUAUACGGCCUAGGACCCUCGUACCUACUGGACCGCCUCUCCUGGUAUGCCCCACAGAGAAACUUACGGUCUUCAAAUAAAAACAUCUUGAAGGUCCCAGGCCACAGAGAAGUUAGGCUGGCCUCAACUGGAGCCAGGGCUUUUUCGGCCGUGGCUCCGACCUGGUGGAACACUCUGUCACAAGAGACCAGGGCCCUGCGGGACUUGACAUCUUUCCGCAGGGCCUGCAAGACAGAGCUGUUCCACCAGGCCUUUGGCCAGGGCACAGCCUGACUCCUCCCUCGGCAAUCUUCGCGGAGCUCUGGCCCAAUGGUUGCCAGUGGCUUGAAUUAAUUAAUUUUAUAAUGAAUGAUUUUAGACUGUUGUCUAUGCUGUACUUUUGUACUGUUUUAUUGUUGUUAGCCGCCCUGAGCCCGGCUUCGGCUGGGGAGAGCGGGAUAUAAAUAAAAUUUAUUAUUAUUUAUUAUAAUAUGUUUUUACUAUUGUAACCUCUAUGGAAUUACCUGUGGGAAAGGUUUAAGGGUAGUGGGUCAAGAAGCCUUCCAUUUCUUAUUUAUCAUCUCUUCUAGGCACUUUGGAUCUGGGAUAUUGUGUCAUUCUGCUUGGCUUUUAAGUCUGGUGUCUAAGGCUGCAUUCACAGGUGGCAUUGUUCAUGUGAGUUAUUUGGCAUGUCAUCAGCCUUCUUCCACAGAUGCUUCACAUACCUGAGAGUGGAGUGCAGUCAGAACAGAACUUGCCUACUUCUAAAAACCACAGUAGGGCAGUGCCUUUAUUAGGCUAAAAAUGUUAUCAAAUAGUGAGCAAGCCUUUUGAGUUCUACAGAGCUCCUUAGUAGGCUGGAUAUCAAGGAAAGGUAGAAGAAAGGAGAAUGGGAAAUCAGGCUGAAAUUGAAGGCACAAAGUCUGAAUUGUUCCUAGUUUUCAGAUGCAUUUCAACACCUAUAUUAGGGUAAUACCUUCAUUUUGUAGAAAGUUCGUAGGC